UACGUAGGGUCCGAGCGUUGUCCGGAAUUAUUGGGCGUAAAGAGCUCGUAGGCGGCCUGUCGCGUCUGCUGUGAAAGUCCGGGGCUUAACUCCGGGUGUGCAGUGGGUACGGGCAGGCUUGAGGUAGGCAGGGGAGACUGGAAUUCCUGGUGUAGCGGUGAAAUGCGCAGAUAUCAGGAGGAACACCGGUGGCGAAGGCGGGUCUCUGGGCCUUACCUGACGCUGAGGAGCGAAAGCGUGGGGAGCGAACAGGAUUAGAUACCCUGGUAGUCCCU
rnacentral:rRNA from 1 species